CUUUUCGUGUUCAUCCUCGGUUCAUUGGGGCGCGAGAUAAAACCACAAACACUGACUCCAGUGAACCAACCGUUUGUCAUUGUAGACAAUAAAUCGAUCCAAGCUAAUGACAGGCGUGAAGCCAUCAAGGCUUGUCAAUUAAAUGCUUUCAGUGCCUGCGUACGCAAAAUUAACGACAUUUUGAUAUCGGAAUUGGCCGAGUCACUUCGAGGUCGAAAGCUGUUGUCCUUGCAGUGUUAUUUUGAUAACCUGACCGCAACUCCGCCUCAUUCUUUGCUCAUUGUUCGGUACCCGUUUCCCACCUAAAAUAACCUACUAAACUAAAGAUAUCAACCGCUAUUUUGAGGGAUAGUAAGACCAGUAUAAACUUUACUUGCUUCUUGUUAAUAAGGCGAAUUUAAUGUGAUCAAUUCUCUCCCUUUGAAUUGUUCAUCGUUGAAAACUGUCUUCUGACUACCGCUAAAUCUCCGAACAAGCACGACUAACUUCUCCGUAGGACUUCAUCACUAAGACUUAUCAAUAAAAUACGUGCUCAUGUAUCAUGAAUUAUUUACUCCUUUGAGACCAUUUAUUUCCAAUUUAUUUAUUUCCUCUUACUCAAUCCAAGAGGAAUAGCAUGUAAGGAACGCGAUUCCUGAACUCACAAUCGCAAAGAGGGGAUUGUCCAGACGCCGUUAGAAUUUAGAGUAAGUAACAUAUUUUCUUCCGUCGCCAGUUGGACAGUUCUUCGUACCGGUUUCCUUGGAGCCACGUUCUACCAUGCGAGCAUACGCCGUGAUCGUAUGCCUUCUUCUUAUCUUAUACCACGUUCAAGCGGCUCCAAGACCUUGCAGGAAUCGGCGGGAUGUGAGCGAGAAAAAGAGCGACGACAAACCGGAAAAUAAAGUAGAGGAACAUCACAAAUCCGAGGAUGGUGAAGGAAAGGAGAAACAAAAAGACAAAAAGCAAUAUGUACCCUAUGCUUCAGCCAUGCCGGCUGUGCCGGCUUAUAAUAUGGGAGACGUCAUUUGUGAGGACAGCCAGCCUGUUCAGGUUGUUCAAAUACGGGAUUUAAGCAUUGCCAAUGGAGUUAUCAAGUCAAGUAAUAUCGUGCAGAUGUAAAAGCCACUAGACUGAGAGGACCAACUUGAGAAGUUGAAGGCUUUUCUACAGUAACAAUUUUUCAAAGUCUGCAGAACACGUGUGUUAGUUAACAAUUCAUUUCUGGACGAGUUUGCACUCUGGCUAAACUGCAAAAAUGAAGAACAUUGUCCCUUAUCCCAAAAUUAAUUCAUUUUUUUACCAUGCACUUGGAAAGCAGAGACCAGUGAGUAAAUAAACUUUACCGAAUUUUCUUGAACUCGUUCAGAUCUACUGUUCAACAGGAUCGAAAGGGAAUCGAAACAAACGAAAAAAAAAACUACUUUAUAUCUGAUGAAGCAAGAGCAACAAACAAUACUCUACUAGCCGAGGACAACAAUGGAACACAGACAGGUUUGCAACUAUAGCUCUUCCUGGAGUUUAAACAAGUGUGAACUGGAGUUUGAACAAGUGUAAACUGAAGUUUGAACAGGUGUGAACCCCUCGAAGCUGCUUGAGGGGAGUGUUUCCCCACCCUUGUCAAUAUGUCAGCGCAGAAGGACAUUUAUGUACAUAUACUGUAUAAAUCUUUCUACAGCUAUCAAUACCCAUGAGGUAGAACUACAGUAUGUUCGAAGAGAACGCGAAAUCAUUAACAUGAUCUGCUGCUACGAAUACCACGAAAGGCGUUCUCUGUUUUAGGUGUUUGUAAAAAUGAAAAAUCACGUAAUAAAUACAGAUUUAGGUUGUUAUAA
rnacentral:lncRNA from 1 species